AGAAGCCAAACAUUGCAUCUUUUCAGACAAUUUUCCUAACAGUACAGCUUCGUUUUCUUCUAACAACUGAGACAGGGAUUCUGAAAAUGUUUGGAAGGGUACGAGGCAGUCUGCACAAGGAGCUCCCCACUACUGCCCUCACCUACAUUUUCAUGGCUGCAGAUAACAAGGUGCUCUCAUGAGAAAUGCCAGAGGGGUGCUGGAAUACUAGAGGAAACAGCAAUGAAGAGACAGAAACUGGAUAUACAAUGGACUAGUCAAGAAUAAGGGCCAGAUGCCCUAAAUUGGUACUGCUCCGUUGCCCUCCGUACUGAUUUACAGAAGACAAGGAUCUGGCUGAAACCCUUCAAAAGCCCUGACUGCUUCGCUUUGCUGUUUCGUCUUAUGCAAGGAAAAGAAAGCACCAAGAGCAUGUUUUUCACCCUGACAUGCAGUAGUGCAGAAGGAUAUCCUCCCGCGUGUGAGUAG
rnacentral:lncRNA from 1 species